rnacentral:rRNA from 1 species
AGCAGCCGCGGUAAUUCCAGCUCCAAUAGCGUAUAUUAAAGUUGUUGCAGUUAAAAAGCUCGUAGUUGAAUUUCGGGAUCAAUAUAUCGGUCGUGCCUUCGGUACGUACUGGUAUCAUUGGUUUCUCCUUUCUGACGAACCAUGAUGUCAUUAAUUUGGUGUUAUGGGGAGUUAGGACUGUUACUUUGAAAAAAUUAGAGUGUUUAAAGCAGGCUUUAGCUUGAAUACAUUAGCAUGGAAUAAUGAAAUAGGACGUUCGAACCUAUUUUGUUGGUUUCUAGGAUCAACGUAAUGAUUAAUAGGGAUAGUUGGGGGCAUUAGUAUUCAAUUGUCAGAGGUGAAAUUCUUGGAUUUAUUGAAGACUAACUACUGCGAAAGCAUUUGCCAAGGAUGUUUUCAUUAAUCAAGAACGAAAGUUAGGGGAUCGAAGACGAUCAGAUACCGUCGUAGUCUUAACCAUAAACUAUGCCGACUAGGGAUCGGAUGAUGUUAAUUUUUUAAUGUACUCAUUCGGCGCCUU